CCACAGGGGAGAGCUUUUCCUCUCUCGUAUACAGCUGAACCCCCCAGGACUCAGCCCCGUGCAGGCACCGUGACUGCUGAAUGAAUAAAAUAACAUAGUGAAAGCCGACCAUGCAGCGGCAGUAGGGUGAGGUGCUCCAAAUGCACACGGCUGCUCAUCCCUUACAGUGCUGAGCAGGGAGGGCGUUCUUAUUCCCAUUUUAUGGAGGAGGAAAUAGUGGUGGUGUAGUUGUAUUCAGGUGCAUUUGUGAAGCUUUGCAUCUACAGAGCCACCUGGUCCCCCAGCCCCCACCUGAGAAUAGGUCCUAAAGUCUAACAUUUAGAGACUCCAAAAUCCCUACUUAUUUGUGUAAUACAACUCAGAGAGCUUGGAAGUGGUGUUGGAAAAAACACUGCAUUGAGAAGUACCAGUCUGAGGCGAUGCAUAUGGUAAAUCAGGAAUUCUCCAGAAAACCCUCGAACCUGUUGGCCUGGACCGUUCCCUGAAGAAUUGCAGAUUUGCCACGUGACAUCUUUGACCUACACAGUGGGACUGAACAGCGGGGGCCUGGAAACACGAGGAGUCUGAACACCACCUUGUGAGGCUGGAGUCGUCGGCAGCCACCACCCGCUCCAAGCUCCAAUCUGGGCAUCUGUAAAACAGAAGCGGUGAGCCAUCCUUGCCUUUCUGGGCUCUGCAAGACACACGGCACCAGUAGAAGACAUGACUGGUGAUGGCUCCAUAAAGGCCACUGUGCUGCUUUCAGAGAACUUCAAGUGACGUGUGAUGGCAAAAGAAUAAGAUCAGCAGGAACUUCAAGGAGCGGGAAGAGAAAGACUCCAAAGAGGAAGAAGAAUAAAUUGGAGAAUGAUGGUCAGCCCAUAAAAGUCUGCUCCAGCUUAAGCUUGCUUGAACUCCUCGGAAGCCAUCGUACAAGGAGGGGAGGAAGCCGAGGAAGAAGAGGAUGAAACUGCCAUAAAGGGACAGGUGCGGUGUUUGUUUGACUCAACCAAUGCACGUGCCUUCCAUGAAGACCUAAAUGGCAGUGGUGGAUUCUUCUCCUGGCUUCAGGACCUCUGUGACCUCCACGCUGUGCUCCCCAGCCCCGGAGUGGGGUCAAGAGAGCUGUGCUCCAACAGCCCAGAGAGUGACUGUGCUGACCUGGCGGGGUGUUUGGACCCAGGGCAGAUGUAAGUGUUGGAGACUGGGCUCUGGCAGACCUCACGAAACCUUGAUUAGCAAUUUAACCCUGUCAUCGCUUCUGUCCGCCCGCCGGGGACGAGGAUUGCUUCACUGGCAUGUGCACCGAGGCAAAGAAAGAGUUUUCGAGAGAGGUCUCCGUGGACGGGUGGAAGUUCAGCACAGAGGCCCAGAAGUUUCCAGGAUGUUCAGACCCCAAGCACUGAAAAGCACAGGGCUCCUUUCCAUGUGCAUUACAGACUCAAAUGAAUACGCAGUCAGAGAGGCAAGAACAUCCCAACAUAAAACCCUGAUGUGUUUUUUAAAUUCCUAAUUCUUCCAAAAAUUGCUUCUGCCUGUGGGGAGAGGCGGCUCCCCUGUGCCUGGUCCCCAAGCAGGUGUUUGGUCUGCACCCUGGAAACCCAAUCCCAGAAUGGGUGUGAAAAAUAAAGUUUGUUUGUCAAAGUCUA